UGCCUGCCCGGUGAUUUUUAUUAAACGGCUGCGGUACUCUGACCGUGCAAAGGUAGCAUAAUCAUUAGCCUGUUAAUUCCAGGCUGGAAUCAACGGCAAGACGGAGAAAGGACUGUCUCUUUAUAUUAAAAUUUGAAGUUUGCAUAUUGGUAAAAAGACCAGUAUUAGUUAGUGGGACGAGAAGACCCUAUUGAGUUUUAGUUUUAUUAUAGAAAAGAGUUAAUUUAUAAUAAGGUUUUAGUUGGGGCAACUAUUUAUUUUAUAAAACAUAAGUAAUUUUAUUUGGAUUGAAUCUAUCACAAGACCCUAACUUUAGUUUUAGGAAGAAAGAAAAAAUUACCAUAGGGAUAACAGCGUAAUUCCUUUUGAGAGUACUUAUUGACAAAGGAGUUUGCGACCUCGAUGUUGGAUCAAGGGAACCUGGGGAUGCAGCAGUUUCCUGGGGUUGGUUUGUUCAACCAUUAAAAUCUU
rnacentral:rRNA from 1 species